AUGAACGCUGGCGGCGUGCUUAACACAUGCAAGUCGAACGAUUAAAGCUCACUUCGGUGAGUGUAUAGAGUGGCGAACGGGUGAGUAACACGUGGGAAACCUGCCCCUUUCUUCGGGAUAACUUCGGGAAACCGUUGCUAAUACCGGAUACUCCUGGCUGGUCGCAUGGCCGACCCGGGAAAGCUUUAUGUGGAAAGGGAUGGUCCCGCGGCCCAUUAGCUUGUUGGUGGGGUAAUGGCCUACCAAGGCAAUGAUGGGUAGCCG
rnacentral:rRNA from 1 species